rnacentral:lncRNA from 1 species
CUUUAACUUGCUGAGCCUGUUAUCAUUUGCUAACAACUCCCAGUUUCUAUUUCAUAGGAUUGUUUUAAGUCCUCAUUGGGCAUUUUAAGUUCUGUUUGAAAGAGCUGCAUCACAAUUCUUAUAAAGGACUUGUUGAAUCAUAAGCUGUUUCCUUAAGCACCAGUUAUGUGGGGGACCUUGUGCCAGGCACUGGGCCACAUAAAUGAGAAUCACAAGGACCAGGAUUAAGAAAAGACAGGCUCCAGUGUGACUCAGCACAGUGUUCACAGCCCAUGCUCUCAAGAAUCUCAGCUUAGGAGGAGGCAAAGAGCCGCUCUACAGUAAGGUAAAUAAGUCAUUUAGUCAGGA